GCUCUGUGCUUUAGAAGGAAAUAAAUUUAAACCUGACCUCCACACAGUGUCUCACUAACUUCUGUUGUUUUAAAAUACCAAAUACGUUUAGGAAGUGUUGGAAGUUAGUAUUUUGGGAAAGAAAUGGCAGUUCCACAGAACAUUGCAUUUAACAGAGGCUCUCGGAAAGAUUCGUGUUGUAAGUGCUGUCACUGCAAUCGGUUGGUGGUUCAGCCUUGAAAUGUGCACUUGCCCUUCUAUAAAGCACUGUUUUGUUUGCCUUUCAGUGCUAUGAGUCUUGAUAAAUUGGAGAAGAGCCCAAGAGAAAUUUUUCAUCCCUUGAUAUGAAAGGGAUCGGUGAAUUUUAACUUUGGAGUCCUCUAUGCUAAGGAUGCUCGGCUUACAGAUGAUGAAAUGUUCAGUAAUGUAUUUGCUGCAGCUCUGCUUACCCAAACUUUGGGUUCCUUCUGUCCCACUGGGAGUCGCCCGAUUUGGUUGCAUCUGGUGAAAUUCACCCUGAGACCUUGGAGAACCAGCUCAAACUACGUGAGAGCCAUUUGCAGUUCUCUCCAGACACCUGGAGAAUGGGUGAUGCUUCUGAGGAUCUGGGAAAGACUCUCGUAUCCUUGUCGUCAGGCUCGGUGCUGUCCAAGAAGAUACAGAGACUAAAACAAUCAUAAGAAGCAAAAUAUGACUGCAGGGAAAACAAGCUGCAGAGAACAAAAGAGCCCUGUCGUACUAAUCGUCAUACAGAUACAAAACAAAACAUCAGACCCUGUCCCAGCCACUUAGAGCCCAGAACACGAUUUCCUCAGGCUGCCAUUUGUGUGCCAUCGGUACUCACCAGGGAAGCGAGCCGGGGAUGUUGCAGCUGUUGGGAACAAACCGCUUCUCGUCACACAGAAAUGGAAUUCGGACGACGCCUCGGCCAGCCCCUCUCUGCCGUCGUCUCCUGAAUCUGCAGCAGAGCAGUUGCAGUCCGUCCGGGUACGUGUAAUCCAGCUCCUGACGAUCUGAGCACACGGAGCAGCGCUCAGCUGCUGUGGGGGCUCAGGGAAGGCAGAGUGUGCAUUGUCAUCUUCCUGAACCUACAGACCAAUCAAAGUGAGAAGCCACAGGGUGGAAAUCAGUCGCAUAUAUGCUAAAUAAAACUUGCAGAUUUAUUUAAGAA